UAAAGUUGAUUUUUCUCGAUAUGCGCAUAUACAGUGUGAUCUAAAGACAUUUUGUAUGUGUCGAAUUUUAAAUUCCAAAGUGGCAUUAUAUUUACAAUAUUAUAGAAAUUAUUUAAAAUUAAGGAAUGGAUCUCCCUCUUGUUCAUUGCCCACCUUUGGCUGUACCUUUUAUACCUUUUCGAAUUAAGGCUAUUCGUCUUUUUAAAUUUUGAAUUUUCAAAUAAUAACUGAAGUUUCAUUUGCAAUGUCAUUAUGGACUUUCCGAAUUGAUUUUCCUCUAAGUUCAGUAUUUUUGUGAUUUUACUUUUUAUUGUCGAAAUGCGCAUCUGGUGCAAAAAAAA
rnacentral:lncRNA from 1 species